rnacentral:sRNA from 1 species
UAAACUUUGCCAUUCAUCCCGGCGCUAC